AUGGAUGACUGCAUAGACCUCUGUUCUUCAUCAGAAGAGGAAGGAGGAGGAGUCCCUGCAGGGAGAGUCGAGUCAGAGUCUGAUUCUGAAUUUGAUGAAAAUACUGAAGGAGUUGAUUCAGAUUCAGAUUCGGACUUUGAAGGAAAUGGCAAAGGACAUGGAGUAAAUCAUAAUGGGCAUGGGAAAGGAGGAGUUCCUGGAGGGGUAGCCGAGUCAGAGUUUGAUUCAGAAAUCGGAGAGCAUGACAAAGGAAUUGCAAAGAACACGUACAUCGGAUCAAGGUGCAGCGUGAAGAAAAUGUACAACUUGAUCCAUGGAUUAGAUGAAGAGAAGAGAGGUUAUGUGAGGGAGAUUGGUUUUGGGGGCCUGCUUCUCCUGCCAAAGCUCAUGAGGACAAAUCGGCACUUCCUCAUGUGGCUGCUAAGCAAAGUUGAUGAGGAAGCAAGCUCUAUCAUCACAGGUUACCGCAGGGACAUACCUUUCCAUGAUAAAGAUGUGGAAACUGUGCUGGGGAUUCCAUGUGGCGGCGCACCGGUGCAGAGUGAACAACACGGUGUUCCUGAGAAUGUGAUAGCAGCGGUCCGAAAGACUCUCGGAAUAUCCGAAUCGGAGCGCGACAUAGGUCCCGUGGUUGCGAUUGUGAAGAAGAAGGUCAGGGGCCAAAAGAUGACAAAAGCAGAAAUAUCAAAAUUCAAGAUUGCUUUUGUUAUAUGCGCGGCGACGUACCUGUUUGCCCCAACAAUGAAAAAUGACUACUUUGUGACAGAUUACUGGGGCGCGCUUUUAUUGUUUGUGCAGACAUUCUAUUUGGAUAACUUGGAGGUGACUGGUGGAAAUAUCCCACACGACGAAUUUCCCAGGAUACAGUUUUACACGACGGAGGUGAUCAACGCGAUAGUUGAAGACGACACGAGGUCACGUAAGGGAGCAGAACUUGUCACAUAUGGCCGAUUGCUGCCACGUCAUGAAGCACUGGUUUGCUAUCAGAGGAACCCCGCGAACAGGAACAAUGUUGUUGGCACAUCAAAUGUGUUUAACAGAAGCGAAUCUAGGUGCGCCGAGACCGGGUCUACGACCAUAGAUGAGAUUGAAUCGCUAGUUAUGGAUAAGGUUUCAUCCUUCGCAACGGCUUGUGAAUAUGUUUUGACAAGUUUUUCAAGGAAGAAGGAAGAGGAGAACCAGAGGCACCAAGCUGCCUUGACAGACCUCGAGAACCAGUCGCAGCAACAGGUCAAGAAUGAGUCGAGGAAAGUGAGAGAUCAACUGAAAAUACUGUUUGCUGGAAUUAGGCAUCAGGAUGGAGUAAGCCGGAAUAUGAAGGGAAAACGCCCUUUAUAUGGAGAUCCAGCUCCAACUGAGGAUGCUGAUGUUGGUUGCCCUAACUCCGAUAUGCCUCAAGAUAGCCAUUCAUCACCAACUGCGGAGAUACCUGGCCAUGGAUCUGAACUGGCGCGUCUUGGUAUCAAGAGGACCAUGUUUAAUGUUGAAUAUCUGGUGCAUCGCGUAUGUUGA
rnacentral:rRNA from 1 species